GUGGAAAAUGAAGGGGACGUGACCAAUUCUAGAAGAUCACAGAAUGCUUACAAAUGAAAAACAAUGGGGUCUUAUGACUUCUUUUGGCCAACAAAAUGCAACACAAGUAACAAUGUCCCAGCUCUAAGUUAGCCUCAAGAGGCUUGGCUUGCUUCUGCUCUCUCUCAGACCUCUUCCACCACCAGGAGAGAAAGCCUACACUUCCAGCUACAGAAGAGCUGAGCUUCCCUCCAGCUAAUAACCAGCCAACUGUAAGGGCAAAACCAUCUAACUAAUCGAGUUGACCACACCACAGACUCAUGACGGAGCCUAACUGAGAACAGAACUGCCCAGCUAAACUCCCCUAAAUUGCCAGCCUGCAGAAUUGUGAGCUAAAUAAAUGACUGAUGUUUUAAAUUACUAAGUUUGGAAUGGUUCAUGAUACAUCAAAAGUUAUGAAAUACAUCCACAGAGGUGACAAUUAACGUGAAGAAAAGAAAAACCCUGAUCCUUUAUCACCAUAAAAAAACAGAAAAAGUUCCCAUCUCCAUACUUGUAGCUUCAGGUUUUUCUAACAA